AUGGGUUAGAGUAUUUAGGAGAAGGAAGCUGAAAAUCAUAUUGUGGUCUAGUGAAUGUUUGGGAAGCAUAGAAUUGUUAAGAUAUGCUCUAAAAAAUAGAUGGCAACAAAAACAGAAAAAGAAAAA
rnacentral:sRNA from 1 species